ACAGGGCUCUGCGAAGUCGCAAGACGACGUAUAGGGUCUGACGCCUGCCCGGUGCUGGAAGGUUAAGAGGAGGUGUGCAAGCACUGAAUUGAAGCCCCAGUAAACGGCGGCCGUAACUAUAACGGUCCUAAGGUAGCGAAAUUCCUUGUCGGGUAAGUUCCGACCUGCACGAAUGGCGUAACGACUUCCCCGCUGUCUCCAACAUAGACUCAGUGAAAUUGAAUUGCCUGUCAAGAUGCAGGCUUCCCGCGGUUAGACGGAAAGACCCCGUGCACCUUUACUACAACUUUACACUGAUAACAGGCACAACAUGUGCAGAAUAGGUGGUAGGCUUUGAAGCAGAAACGCCAGUUUUUGUGGAGCCUCCUUUGAGAUACCACCCUUGUUUUGCUUGUUAUCUAACUGCGGUCCGUUAUCCGGAUCCAGGACCCUGUAUGGUGGGUAGUUUGACUGGGGCGGUCGCCUCCUAAAGAGUAACGGAGGCGCGCGAAGGUUGGCUCAGAGCGGUCGGAAAUCGCUCGUUGAGUGCAAUGGCAGAAGCCAGCCUGACUGCGAGACUGACAAGUCGAGCAGAGUCGAAAGACGGCCAUAGUGAUCCGGUGGUCCCGAGUGGAAGGGCCAUCGCUCAACGGAUAAAAGGUACGCCGGGGAUAACAGGCUGAUACUGCCCAAGAGUCCAUAUCGACGGCAGUGUUUGGCACCUCGAUGUCGGCUCAUCUCAUCCUGGGGCUGGAGCAGGUCCCAAGGGUACGGCUGUUCGCCGUUUAAAGAGGUACGUGAGCUGGGUUUAGAACGUCGUGAGACAGUUCGGUCCCUAUCUGCCGUGGGUGUAGGAUACUUGAGAGGAGUUGCCCCUAGUACGAGAGGACCGGGGUGAACGAUCCACUGGUGGACCAGUUGUCGACUACGGCAGUGCUGGGUAGCUAUGAUCGGACAGGAUAACCGCUGAAAGCAUCUAAGCGGGAAGCCCCCCUCAAAACAAGGUAUCCCUGAGGACCGAGGUAGACCACCUCGUCGAUAGGCCAGAGGUGUAAGCGUGGUAACACGUUCAGCUGACUGGUACUAAUGGUCCGAUAGGCUUGAUUUG
rnacentral:rRNA from 1 species